CCCAAGACGCCUAGCUACGCCACACCCACAMGGGAAUUCAGCAGUGAUUAACAUUGAACAUAAGCGACAGCUUGAUUCAGUUAUAGUAAAAAGAGCCGGCAAAUCUGGUGCCAGCCGCCGCGGUUACACCACGAGGCUCAAAUUGACCCCCCUAUCGGCGUAAAGCGUGAUUAAAGUAACGAUACCCAUUAGAGUUAAACUUGGGCUAAGCUGUGAUACGCUUGCACACAAGAAACUCAGAAGCGAAAGCUACUCUAAUUUUACCCACUUGAACUCACGACAGCUGGGGCACAAACUGGGAUUAGAUACCCCACUAUGCCCAGCCG
rnacentral:rRNA from 1 species